UUUUUUGUUUUUUUGAGAGUAAAGUGUAACAAGUCUCCGUAGGUGACCUGCGGAGGGAUCAUUAAGAUGCGUCCAGCCUUUGCGCGUGGCGGCCCUCGGGCUGCCCCGCGCACGCCCUGCAUCCUCGAUAUUACAGCACCUUGCGUUCUCCUUCGGCGGGUCAGCCCGCCGUUGGAACCGAAACACUCACCUCUUGCAUGCAGAAAUAACCGUUCCGAAACAAACAAUCGUUACAACUUUCAACAAUGGAUCUCUUGGCUCUGGCAUCGAUGAAGAACGCAGCGAAAUGCGAUAAGUAGUGUGAAUUGCAGAAUUCAGUGAAUCAUCGAAUCUUUGAACGCACAUUGCGCCCCUCGGUAUUCCGUGGGGCAUGCCUGUUCGAGCGUCAUCUACACCCUCAAGCCCUGCUUGGUGUUGGGUGCCUGUCCCGCCCCGCGCGGCGACUCACCCCAAAUGCAUUGGCGGCGGCCCUUGCCCCUCCCGCGCAGCACAUUGCGCUUCUCGAGGCGGCGGGACCGCGUCCACGAAGCCGACACCCGUCUUUGACCUCGGAUCAGGUAGGGAUACCCGCUGAACUUAAGCAUAUCAUUUAACGCGGAAGGAAA
rnacentral:rRNA from 1 species